rnacentral:tRNA from 1 species
GGCCCAUUAGUCAAGCGGUCAAGACGUCGCCCUCUCACGGCGGAGACGAGGGUUCGACCCCCUCAUGGGCCACCA